UACGUAGGGGGCAAGCGUUGUCCGGAUUUAUUGGGCGUAAAGAGCUCGUAGGUGGUUUGGUUAGUCGGAUGUGAAAUCUCCAGGCUCAACCUGGAGGGGUUAUUCGAUACUGCCAUGACUAGAGGUCGGUAGGGGAGUGUGGAAUUCCUGGUGGAGCGGUGAAAUGCGUAGAUAUCGGGAGGAACACCAGUGGCGAAGGCGACUUUCUGGCCUGUUCUUGACGCUGAGGCGCGAAAGCUAGGGGAGCAAACGGG
rnacentral:rRNA from 1 species